GACGAACGCUGGCGGCGCGCCUAACACAUGCAAGUCGAACGAGCGAGAGGAGGUUUACUUUCUCAAGCGAGUGGCGAACGGGUGAGUAACGCGUGAGGAACCUGCCUCAAAGAGGGGGACAACAGUUGGAAACGACUGCUAAUACCGCAUAAGCCCACGACCCGGCAUCGGGUAGAGGGAAAAGGAGCAAUCCGCUUUUAGAUGGCCUCGCGUCCGAUUAGCUAGUUGGUGAGGUAAUGGCCCACCAAGGCGACGAUCGGUAGCCGGACUGAGAGGUUGAACGGCCACAUUGGGACUGAGACACGGCCCAGACUCCUACGGGAGGCAGCAGUGGGGAAUAUUGCACAAUGGGGGAAACCCUGAUGCAGCGACGCCGCGUGGAGGAAGAAGGUCUUCGGAUUGUAAACUCCUGUUGUUGAGGAAGAUAAUGACGGUACUCAACAAGGAAGUGACGGCUAACUACGUG
rnacentral:rRNA from 1 species